AUUGAGUAAGGACAUAGUGAAUUAAGGGUGAGUUAAAUUAAAAAAAAAUAGUUUAAUGCUGACCACUUUAUAAGCAUACUUUUGAUAUAUCCCAUAGCUCAGUGUUAUAAUGAUGGAUUUUAGUCAGUCUUCUAAUGAUGGAGUUUGG